rnacentral:rRNA from 1 species
AGGACGAACGCUGGCGGCGCGCCUAAAACAUGCAAGUCGAACGAGAAGCCCGGGCUUGCCCGGGUGGACAGUGGCGAACGGGUGAGUAACACGUGAGGAACCUGCCCCGAAGACCGGGACAACAUCGGGAAACCGUUGCUAAUACCGGAUGCCCUCGAAGAAUCGCAUGGUUCAUCGAGGAAAUGGAUUCCGCUUCGGGAUGGCCUCGCGGCCUAUCAGCUUGUUGGUGAGGUAAUGGCUCACCAAGGCAUCGACGGGUAGCUGGUCUGAGAGGAUGUCCAGCCACACUGGGACUGAGACACGGCCCAGACUCCUACGGGAGGCAGCAGUUAGGAAUCUUGCGCAAUGGACGAAAGUCUGACGCAGCGACGCCGCGUGCGGGAUGACGGCCCUCGGGUUGUAAACCGCUUUCAGCAGGGACGAAUUGACGUACCUGCAGAAGAACGCCCGGCUAACUACGUGCCAGCAGCCGC